CCUACGGGUGGCUGCAGUAGGGAAUCUUCCACAAUGGACGAAAGUCUGAUGGAGCAACGCCGCGUGUGUGAUGAAGGGUUUCGGCUCGUAAAACACUGUUGUAAGAGAAGAAUGACAUUGAGAGUAACUGUUCAGUGUGUGACGGUAUCUUACCAGAAAGGCACGGCUAAAUACGUGCCAGGAGCCGCCGUAAUACGUAUGUUCCAAGCGUUAUCCGGUUUUAUUGGGCGUAAAGCGAGCGCAGGCGGUUGUUUAAGUCCGAGGUGAAAGCCCGGGGCUUAACUGUGGAGGUGCAUUGGAAACGGGAUGACUAGAGUGCAGUAGAGGAGAGUGGAAUUCCAUGUGUAGCGGUGAAAUGCGUAGAUAUAAGGAAGAACACCAGUGGCGAAGGCGGCUCUCUGGACUGUAACUGACGUUGAGGCGCGAAAGUGUGGGGAGCAAACAGGAUUAGAUACCCCGGUAGUC
rnacentral:rRNA from 1 species